rnacentral:rRNA from 1 species
CCUACGGGGGGCAGCAGUGGGGGAUAUUGCACAAUGGGCGAAAGCCUGAUGCAGCAACGCCGCGUGAGGGAAGACGGUUUUCGGAUUGUAAACCUUUGUCUUCGGUGAAGAAAGAAAUGACGGUAGCCGGGGAGGAAGCCACGGCUAACUACGUGCCAGCAGCCGCGGUAAUACGUAGGUGGCGAGCGUUGUCCGGAAUUACUGGGUGUAAGGGGAGCGCAGGCGGGGGGACAAGUCAGCUGUGAAAACUACCGGCUUAACCGAUAGAUUGCAGUUGAAACUGUUUUUCUUGAGUGGAGUAGAGGCAGGCGGAAUUCCGAGUGUAGCGGUGAAAUGCGUAGAUAUUCGGAGGAACACCGGUGGCGAAGGCGGCCUGCUGGGCUCUAACUGACGCUGAGGCUCGAAAGUGUGGGGAGCAAACAGGAUUAGAUACCCUGGUAGUCCACACUGUAAACGAUGAUUGCUAGGUGUGGGGGGUCUGACCCCUUCGGUGCCGGAGCUAACGCAAUAAGCAAUCCACCUGGGGAGUACGGCCGCAAGGUUGAAACUCAAAGGAAUUGACGGGGGCCCGCACAAGCAGUGGAUUAUGUGGUUUAAUUCGAAGCAACGCGAAGAACCUUACCAGGUCUUGACAUCCGGCUAACGAGGCAGAGAUGCGUCAGGUGCCCUUCGGGGAAAGUCGAGACAGGUGGUGCAUGGUUGUCGUCAGCUCGUGUCGUGAGAUGUCGGGUUAAGUCCCGCAACGAGCGCAACCCCUGCCAUUAGUUGCUACGCGAGAGCACUCUAAUGGGACCGCUACCGACAA